UGUCUACAUACGCUCCUACAAAAGAAGAAAAGGAGCGAUUCAUGUCUCGGGCGAUCGAGCUCAGCGCGGAAGGAGCAUUCAAGGGACAUGGUGGUCCAUAUGGAGCCGUGGUUGUCAAAAAUGGCAAGAUUGUUGGUACGAUGGCUAUUUCUUCUUUCGCAACCCAGCUUCCUGUCUUCAUGCAAACAGCAAAACUUUAACGUGGUUCUAAACGCCGACUUUACUGACAGUCUCAGACUUUCAAAGCAGUCUCUAUGGUGAAGGCUACAACCGAGUACUUGUUGAUUGUGAUCCAAGUGCACAUGGAGAAGUUGUGGCCAUACGAAAUGCAGGGAAAAACUUGGGAACAUUUGAACUGACAGGCUGUAGUUUGUACACAAACUU
rnacentral:misc_RNA from 1 species